UGCGAGUCAUUGUAGCAAUACAAGGCAGACGGCUCAGUAACGCGUAGUCAACCUACCCUAUGGACGGGGAUAACCUCGGGAAACUGAGAAUAAUACCAGAUAGAACAUUAUACCUGGAAUGGUUUAUGUUUCAAAUAAUUUAUUGCCGUAGGAUGGGACUGCGGCCUAUCAGUUUGUUGGUGAGGUAAUGGCCCACCAAGACUAUUACAGGUACGGGCUCUGAGAGGAGUAGCCCGGAGAUGGGUACUGAGACACGGACCCAGGCCCUAUGGGGCGCAGCAGGCGAGAAAACUUUGCAAUGUGCGAAAGCACGACAAGGUUAAUCCGAGUGGUUUCUGCUAAAGGAACCUUUUGUUAGUCAUAGAACCACUAAUGAAUAAGGGGUGGGCAAGUUCUGGUGUCAGCCGCCGCGGUAAAACCAGCACCUCAAGUGGUCAGGAUGAUUAUUGGGCCUAAAGCAUCCGUAGCCGGCUUUGUUAGUUUUCGGUUAAAUCCAUACGCUCAACGUAUGGGCUGCCGGGAAUACUGCAAGGCUAGGGAGUGGGAGAGGUAGACGGUACUCGGUAGGAAGGGGUAAAAUCCUUUGAUCUAUUGAUGACCACCUGUGGCGAAGGCGGUCUACCAGAACACGUCCGACGGUGAGGGAUGAAAGCUGGGGGAGCAAACCGGAUUAGAUACCCGGGUAGUCCCAGCUGUAAACUAUGCAAACUCGGUGAUGCAUUGGCUUGAUGCCAAUGCAGU
rnacentral:rRNA from 1 species